GACGAACGCUGGCGGCGUGCUUAACACAUGCAAGUCGAACGGAAAGGCCCUGCUUUUGUGGGGUGCUCGAGUGGCGAACGGGUGAGUAACACGUGAGUAACCUGCCCUUGACUUUGGGAUAACUUCAGGAAACUGGGGCUAAUACCGGAUAGGAGCUCCUGCUGCAUGGUGGGGGUUGGAAAGUUUCGGCGGUUGGGGAUGGACUCGCGGCUUAUCAGCUUGUUGGUGAGGUAGUGGCUUACCAAGGCUUUGACGGGUAGCCGGCCUGAGAGGGUGACCGGCCACAUUGGGACUGAGAUACGGCCCAGACUCCUACGGGAGGCAGCAGUGGGGAAUAUUGCACAAUGGGGGGAAGCCUGAUGCAGCAACGCCGCGUGCGGGAUGACGGCCUUCGGGUUGUAAACCGAUUUCGCCUGUGACGAAGCGUGAGUGACGGUAAUGGGUAAAGAAGCACCGGCUAACUACGUG
rnacentral:rRNA from 1 species